rnacentral:tRNA from 1 species
GUGGCUGUAGUUGCAGCUAGUGGGCGCAGUCUCCGCCACGAGGGCCACUCAUAAUCCCUCGGUCGCGGGUUCGAGUCCCGCCCGCCCCACCU